AGAUGUCCAAACUUGAAUAUUUAGAGGAAGUAAAAGUCGUAACAAGGUUGCUGUAGGUGAACCUGCAGCAGGAUCAUUAACGUACCAAAACUCUACGAGUACGAAAAAUGAAAAUGAGGAGUCCAGGGGGUGCUCGCCUUCCUAACCAGUCGGCUUCACCACGAGAGGGUGCCUGUUCU
rnacentral:rRNA from 1 species